UGUGUGACAGAGGUUCCUAGCAGAACACUUGAAAAGGUAAGCUAAUCAAAAUGAAGACACUGUUAGUUCUCGUCUUCAAGACAGCCUUCUUAAAGAUAGUUCACAAUUACAAGACUCAACCAUUGUCGACAAUUUUAUUUUUUUCAAAGAAUCCUUUCAAGAACAACUCAAGUCACUGCAUAUGGCUGCAGUUGGGUAAUGUUCUGACUCCGAGGCAAACAGUGAUACCUAGAAUUGCACAACCUGAAAGCUGCACUUUCAGGCCCAGCCUCACCUUCCUGUUUACCCAACACUUCUAUGUACUUCAAUGUCCUGCUUCCACUUCUGCACUUCAGUAG
rnacentral:lncRNA from 1 species